UGUUGUAAUGGUCUAAUGAACAGCCAUAUCAUGAUAUGAUUGCAUCGUUGCAUGAUAGUGUACCAUAUGCUCAUGCAUUUGUUUUCUUACCGAUGUUGUCCUAAUGAGUUGGCUGGCUUACAUGUAGUCUGCUGUAAAGGUCUACUUGUUUCAGGUAGCAUUGCUUUCUGGAAUACAUUAUUGGAACUUGGUAACCUUCCCUGGUUAUAGUCAGCAAGACAAGAAGAACAUACUUGUGUAUGAGUUCAUGCACAACGAAAGGAGCACCUUAGCUGAUGUUAAAUUUUCUCUUUGGAAUCAACAACACACUGUUGUAUAUACACGUGUGAUUCUUUCGCAGUAAAACUUUGCCUGUGCAGUUGUAUUUUGCUGAUUCAGGUUGUCUUAGCCUGCAACACUACGUCUAGGUUACCGCGUAGCCCAUUUCCUUUUAAGUGGGUACUUCCGAAUGAAAACUUGGAAUUACCUAAUAGGUGCAUACAUGAACUAUUGAUGGUGUGAAUAGAAACAACGGCAUUGGCGCAGACGCUUGGUGACCUUCACGUUGUUCCUCCAAGGCAGGCCAUGAGUGAUGGCAGCCGUGAGGUCAGCGUUGCUAGGAAAUAGGGAAAGGCUGCUGCCAAUUAUGCAAGAUACACACAUAGUUUGUGUUUGCUGUUUACAUGUCAGUUUUUUACCAUUUGAACUGUCUUUUAUAGACUGUAUAGUUCACAAAAAAGAAACUUUCGAUAAAGCAUAUAUGGGUUUGCAGUAGACCAUUCUAGACCAUAUUUCUUGAAUACAUAGUUUAUAGUAUUUUCUGGUUUUAAAUAUAUGAGAUUGCCCAUCUUAGUUAGUGGCACUGCUAUGCUUCACAGUAUACAAUGCUUGCAUGCCAAUAUAAUCAUAAGUGUUUUUUCGUUUUCAGGUGUUCUUAAUAUGGUGGGUGAUUGAAGCGAAAGCAUGAGGAGCAGUUCAAAGGGCGGAUGGAGCAUGUGACUUGUGUGGAAAUAACAAAUUUUCUUUUAGAUGAUUUGAGUGUAUGCUGAUGCGUGAAAGUCAAUCAUUUGGAUUCCCAACUAGCCUAUUGUGUGUGUUCAAUAUUUUGUUGCGCAUUGACAAAAUGUUUUCAGUGCCCGAGUGCGCAAGUUGAAUUUUGAAACAUAUGAGAGGAUAACCCUGCAAAAGGGAAUUUGCCCUUUAUGAAGGUUCGGGCUUGCUGUUGUAAUUAAAAGUAGGAGAUUUAUAUAUACCUAUAAUAGAAUAAUUCCUCAAGCUAAAGGCUUCUGUAACAUGUAACAUAUGAACUUUGUUUGUGCUAAUAAUUUUCCAGCCAUAGUAAAAGGCUAUGUUGCACAGGUA
rnacentral:lncRNA from 1 species